rnacentral:rRNA from 1 species
AUUGAACGCUAGCGGCAGGCCUUACACAUGCAAGUCGAACGAGUGGCGGACGGGUGAGUAAUGUCUGGGAAACUGCCCGAUGGAGGGGGAUAACUACUGGAAACGGUAGCUAAUACCGCAUACCAUUGGAGGUGCCCAAAUUGGAUUAGCUAGUGGGUGGGGUAAAGGCUCACCCAGGCGACGAUCCCUAGCUGGUUUGAGAGGACGACCAGCCACACUGGAACUGAGACACGGUCCAGACUCCUACGGGAGGCAGCAGUGGGGAAUGUUGGACAAUGGGGGCAAGCCUGAUACAGCCAUGCCGCGUGUAUGAUGAAGGCCGUCGGGUUGUAAAGUACUUGCAGCGGGGAGGCGUUACCCGCAGAAGAAGCACCGGCUAACUCCGUGCCAGCCGCCGCGGUAAUUC